rnacentral:rRNA from 1 species
UCAUUGCUGGAAUACAUGCCCCCCUCGUGGGGCACUACCCAGAAACCCCUUGCGAAUAUUAUAUCUCAACGUUGCCUCGGCAUAGCUGGCCUUUCUUUCUCAAGAGGGCCCCUCCGCCGCUGUCACUGACGGCGUGCAGAGGAGCAGGCUGGCCGGUGGCCCAACCAACUUCUGUUUUCCUUGUAUUGCCAUCUGAGUAUACAAACAAACAAAAUAAAUCAAAACUUUCAACAACGGAUCUCUUGGUUCUGGCAUCGAUGAAGAACGCAGCGAAAUGCGAUAAGUAAUGUGAAUUGCAGAAUUCAGUGAAUCAUCGAAUCUUUGAACGCACAUUGCGCCCGGUGGUAUUCCACCGGGCAUGCCUGUUCGAGCGUCAUUUCCACCCUCAAAGCACCAUUUUUUUGGUCUUUGGUGUUGGAGGCCUACCUGUCAAAGGGUAGCCUCUGAAAUGUAGUGGCGGGCUCGCUAGAAUUUGGAGCGUAGUAGUUUUACCUCGUUCUUAAAAGACUAGUGAGUAUCAACCAGCCGUAAAACCUCCCCGUCUGGGGAACACACUAUAUGA